GAUGAAUGCUGGCGGCGUGCCUAACACAUGCAAGUCGAGCGGCAGCGCGGGGUGCUUGCACCCUGUCGGCGAGCGGCGAACGGCUGAGUAACGCGUAGGAAUUUGCCCCAAAGUGAGGAAUAACUGCCCGAAAGGGUAGCUAAUGCCGCAUAUGGUCUUCGGAUUAAAGGAUUUAUCCGCUUUGGGAGAAGCCUGCGUUGGAUUAGGUUGUUGGUAGGGUAAUGGCCUACCAAGCCGACGAUUCAUAGCUGGUCUGAGAGGAUGAUCAGCCAGACUGGAACUGAGACACGGUCCAGACUCCUACGGGAGGCAGCAGUGAGGAAUCUUCCACAAUGGGCGAAAGCCUGAUGGAGCAACGCCGCGUGAAGGAUGAAGGCCUUCGGGUUGUAAACUUCUUUUAUGAGUGAAGAAUAUGACGGUAACUCAUGAAUAAGCACCGGCUAACUACGUG
rnacentral:rRNA from 1 species